UACGUAGGGUGCGAGCGUUGCCCGGAUUUAUUGGGCGUAAAGGGCGCGUAGGCGGCUCGGCACGUCCGUUGUGAAAUCGCCCGGCUCAACUGGGCGGGGUCAGCGGAUACGGUCGAGCUUGAGCAAGCUAGGGGGUAAUGGAAUUCCCGGUGUAGUGGUGGAAUGCGUAGAUAUCGGGAGGAACACCAGUGGCGAAGGCGGGACUCUGGGCCGAUACUGACGCUGAGGAGCGAAAGCGUGGGGAGCGAACAGG
rnacentral:rRNA from 1 species